rnacentral:rRNA from 1 species
UCCACGCCCUAAACGAUGCACACUAGUUGUUGCGAUGCUCGUCAUUGCAGUAAUACAGUUAACACAUUAAGUGUGCCGCCUGGGGAGUACGGUCGCAAGAUUAAAACUCAAAGGAAUAGACGGGGACCCGCACAAGCGGUGGAGCAUGUGGUUUAAUUCGAAAAUACGCGAAGAACCUUACCUAGACUUGAAAUCCUUGGAAUCCUGUAGAGAUACGGGAGUGCUAGUUUACUAGAACCAAGUGACAGGUGCUGCACGGCUGUCGUCAGCUCGUGUCGUGAGAUGUUGGGUUAAGUCCCG